rnacentral:rRNA from 1 species
UACGUAGGCAGCAAGCGUUGUUCGGAAUUACUGGGCGUAGAGGGUGCGUAGGCGGUGCUCUAAGUUUGGUGUGAAAUCUCCCGGCUUAACUGGGAGGGUGCGCCGAAGACUGGAGUGCUUGAGUGCGGGAGAGGAAAGCGGAAUUCCUGGUGUAGCGGUGAAAUGCGUAGAGAUCAGGAGGAACACCUGCGGUGUAGACGGCUUUCUGGACCGUAACUGACGAUGAGGCGCGAAAGUGUGGGUAGCAAACAGG